rnacentral:rRNA from 1 species
GACAGAGGGUGCAAACGUUGUUCGGAAUUACUGGGCGUAAAGCGCGUGUAGGCGGCCAUCUAAGUCGGGCGUGAAAUCCCACGGCUACCAACCGGUGGAAGUGCACUCGAAACUGGGAUGGCGUAGGAGUCCUGGAGAGGAAGGUGGAAGUGCUUGGUGUAGAGGUGAAAUUCGUAGAUAUCAAGCGGAACACCGGUGGCGAAGGGCGGCCUUACUGGGACAGUGACUGACGCUGAGACG